UGCGUAGCCGACCUGAGAGGGUGAUCGGCCACACUGGGACUGAGACACGGCCCAGACUCCUACGGGAGGCAGCAGUAGGGAAUCUUCCGCAAUGGACGAAAGUCUGACGGAGCAACGCCGCGUGAGUGAUGAAGGUUUUCGGAUCGUAAAGCUCUGUUUUUAGGGAAGAACAAGUACCGUUCGAAUAGGGCGGUACCUUGACGGUACCUAACCAGAAAGCCACGGCUAACUACGUGCCAGCAGCCGCGGUAAUACGUAGGUGGCAAGCGUUGUCCGGAAUUAUUGGGCGUAAAGGGCUCGCAGGCGGUUUCAUAAGUCUGAUGUGAAAGCCCCCGGCUCAACCGGGGAGGGUCAUUGGAAACUGGGGAACUUGAGUGCAGAAGAGGAGAGUGGAAUUCCACGUGUAGCGGUGAAAUGCGUAGAGAUGUGGAGGAACACCAGUGGCGAAGGCGACUCUCUGGUCUGUAACUGACGCUGAGGAGCGAAAGCGUGGGGAGCGAACAGGAUUAGAUACCCUGGUAGUCCACGCCGUAAACGAUGAGUGGUAAGUGUUAGGGGGUUUCCGCCCCUUAGUGCUGCAGCUAACGCAUUAAGCACUCCGCCUGGGGAGUACGGUCGCAAGACUGAAACUCAAAGGAAUUGACGGGGGCCCGCACAAGCGGUGGAGCAUGUGGUUUUAUUCGAAGCAACGCGAAGAACCUUACCAGGUCAUGACAUCCUCUGACAAUCCUAGAGAUAGGACGUCCCCUUCGGGGGCAGAGUGACAGGUG
rnacentral:rRNA from 1 species